UGGGGGCCUUACGGGAGGCAGCAGUGGGGAAUUUUGGACAAUGGGGGCAACCCUGAUCCAGCAAUGCCGCGUGAGUGAAGAAGGCCUUCGGGUUGUAAAGCUCUUUUGUCAGGGAAGAAACGCACCGGGAUAAUACCCUGGUGUAAUGACGGUACCUGAAGAAUAAGCACCGGCUAACUACGUGCCAGCAGCCGCGGUAAUACGUAGGGUGCAAGCGUUAAUCGGAAUUACUGGGCGUAAAGCGUGCGCAGGCGGUUGUGCAAGACAGAUGUGAAAUCCCCGGGCUUAACCUGGGAAUUGCAUUUGUGACUGCACGGCUAGAGUGUGUCAGAGGGGGGUAGAAUUCCACGUGUAGCAGUGAAAUGCGUAGAUAUGUGGAGGAAUACCGAUGGCGAAGGCAGCCCCCUGGGAUAACACUGACGCUCAUGCACGAAAGCGUGGGGAGCAAACAGGAUUAGAUACCCUGGUAGUCCACGCCCUAAACGAUGUCUACUAGUUGUCGGGUCUUAAUUGACUUGGUAACGCAGCUAACGCGUGAAGUAGACCGCCGG
rnacentral:rRNA from 1 species